rnacentral:lncRNA from 1 species
UAGAAUCAAAAGUAUAAAGAAAACCAGAAGAGGAGGAGUGGCCAAGUGUAAAGAGCACCCAAGCUAUCUUCUCCUCUUGGAAAAGAAUGAGGGGAAAGAAAAGCAGUGCAAAGCAUGGGCAAGAGCAAGUCAUAUAUGGAUACAAAAUUCCCAGGGGUAAGCCAUUGCUUCAGGGAGGGAGCUGUCAGCUCUUGGAGGCUACAUGUAAACUUUGUAGAGUGGCUCAACCAACAGGGAAUGUUUGACUUCCAGAGGCUUCCAGAGGGUGGAUUAAGUUGGUUCAUAGACUAACUGAUGACACCAUUGAACUCCUGCUAUGAGGCUGGGGCCAGCAACCCAAAGAACAUUUAAGGGAACAAAGGUUUGGGUGGGGAGAUGAGACACAGACACAAACAGACUCAAUAGUAACUUGAGGUAAGAGGAAUGUGAAAAAAGAGGAAGAAAGAAUUCAAGCUAUGAUUUAAACAGUACAAAAUCAGGGCUACAGGGAGAAGAUAUCACCAAGGUCACUGAGAGGAAGCUGCUUAGUAAAGGAAUGAUUUGAACUGGGCAUUGAAGGUUGAGUAAGAGGUUAAUUUAAGCAUACCGUAGCAGUGUGUUAUAGUAGAAGGAAACUUGCUCUAGUUUCAAAUAGGCCUGGGAUAGAAGCCAGGCUCCACCCCUCACCAGCUGCAUUUCCUGAAUAAUACAUACUUUUAAGACUAUUAUAGAGAUAUUUAUUAAGUACCUAGUAAAGUGUCUGACUUACAGUAGAGACCCAAUACAGCUACUAUUGGUAACAAUAGAGUGUUGGAGUAUUUUUUAUAAGGAUGCAGCCUUGAGUACUGGUCAGCACAGCUGUUUCACAUUUCUUCUGUGUCACUCUGGGUAGCAGUGGUAAAUUUCUGCAGGAGUUUCAGUGCUCACCUCCCUGGAAAUCCCAUAGAGAAAGAACACAGACCUCAUUCAGAGUAUCCAGAGGCCCAUGACAGAAGCAAUUGAACAGGCUCGAACCAGUGGCUACAGCAAACUUCAAAGACAGUGUCUUUGGAAGGGCUGAUCUAUGUCAAAUUGUACAUAUGGGGCACUUUGCCUUCAUUUUUCGCUCCUUAUUCUCCUUCAAUCCCUUUCUUCCUUCCUUUGUUCCAAGGUGCAAUGUAGACCUCAAACUGGUUUGCCCUUCCUAUGAAUAGGUAAAGGCAACAGUCUGAUCAGACUCCCAAACACCAAUAUUUAAGUGGUUUAUUAAUUAACUCCUCUCACAGAUAUUGGUAUUUAAAAUAUUUCAAGCAAUGGGCAAUGUUCAAUCUAAAUCAUGCAUAUCUGAGAGUAAGAAUUUGGGUAUCAGCAACCAGCAAAUGGAUGAGGUUGGGAGUAGGGUGGUUAUAACCAGAGCUACUGAAUUCAUUUCAUGUAGAGAAAAGCAUGGUGGAAAGAAAUGUUUGACAUUUAGAAUUGCGGGAACUACCUUAAAAUUUCAACUCUGGUACUUUUUAGAUACUGAUUAUUUUCAAGUAAUUUUACUUGCCUAUUCUCAUUUUCUCAAAUGAGUAAUAGGAAUAAUAAUCAUUAUCUUAUACAGGAUAUAAGACAGUGAGACAAGCACUUCUUGAAUUGAAUGUGCAUACAAACUACUUGGGCAUCUUGUUAAAAUACAGAUUCUGAUUUAAGAAGUCUGGGGUGGGGCCAAAGGUUCUGCAUUUCUAACAAGCUCUCAGGUGGUGACAAUGCUGCUGGUCUGGGGACCACAUUUUGAGUAGCAAGGGGCCAUUAGAUAAUGUGAUUAAUGCACCCUUGGAGGGAUCAUUUAUACCAGCCCUAGCCAGAGGGGAAUUGCCCAUCCCAGCAGUUGGAACUUCAGUUUCAGUAAGCCUUGCCACUGUGGGCUAAAAUGCUCUGGGGUUCUAAAAAAACUUGAAAGGCUAUCUAAGCCACAAGGACUGCCAUUCCUAGACAAGCCCUAGUGCUGUGCUGGGCUCAAGCCAGUGGACUUGGGGAGCACACAAACUACUGAGUCACCAGCCUGGGUGGCUAAGGGAAUGCUUGCAUCACACCUCAACCUCAGGCAGUGCAGCUCACAGCUCCAAAAGUGACCUUCUCCUUCCACCUGAUUUUUGGUUCUUCUGAAGGUGCUUUCUUGUGUAGAUAGUUGUUACACUUAGCGUUCCUGCAGGGAGGACAACUGAUGGAGGUUUCUAUUCCACCAUCUUGCUCCCCCUCCCAACAGUAUGUACUAAUUUUGACUGACUUCUUUCACUCAACAUACUUGUUUUGAGAUUUAUCCAUGGUGUUAUGUGUUUAGUGUUUUAUUGCUGAGUCCCUUUUAUGAGUAUAUCAUAGUUUAUUUAUGAACCAAUGAAAAACAUUUUGGUUUAUGUCAAUUUUGGGCUAUCACAAAUAAAAGUCCCAUGAUAGUCUUUGUAUAGACAUGUAUUUUUUUUAUUGGAUAAAUAUGUAGGAGUAGAAUGGCCAGAUCAUAUGGUAGGUUUCUGUUUAACUUGUUAAGAAAUUGUGAAAUUGCUCUCCAUUCACAUCCUUGCCAAUACUUGGUAUGUUCAGUCUUUGUUACUUUAGAUCUUUGAAUAAGUGCAUGGUAGUAUUUCAGUGUGGUUUUAAUUUUUGUGUCCUUGAUGAUCAAUGAUAUUGAGCAUCUGUUUAUUGCUUAGUUGUUACCUGUAUAUCUUCUUUGAUGAAGAGUCUGUUCAAUCUUUUGCCCAUUUUAUAUUGGGAUUUAUGUUUACCUCUUACUGAGUUUGGGAGUUCUUUAUAUAUUCUGGGUAAAGGUAUUUUAUUGGAGAAAUUAUUUGUAAAUAUACAGCAAAAAUUUCAGUAGAUCUGGAGGUGAAUAAGAACUAGACUCUGUUU